rnacentral:rRNA from 1 species
GACGAACGCUGGCGGCGUGCUUAACACAUGCAAGUCGAACGGAAAGGCCCUGCUUUUGUGGGGUGCUCGAGUGGCGAACGGGUGAGUAACACGUGAGUAACCUGCCCUUGACUUUGGGAUAACUUCAGGAAACUGGGGCUAAUACCGGAUAGGAGCUCCUGCUGCAUGGUGGGGGUUGGAAAGUUUCGGCGGUUGGGGAUGGACUCGCGGCUUAUCAGCUUGUUGGUGGGGUAGUGGCUUACCAAGGCUUUGACGGGUAGCCGGCCUGAGAGGGUGACCGGGCACAUUGGGACUGAGAGACGGACCAGAAUGCUACGGGCGGCAGCGGUGGGGAAUAUUGCACAGUGGGCCGAAGCCUGAUGCAGCGACGCCGCGUGCGGGAUGACGGCCUUUGGGUUGUAAACAGCUUUCGCCUGUGACGAAGCGUGAGUGACGGUAAUGGGUAAAGAAGCACCGGCUAACUACGUG